CCAAAGGCUCUUUUCAGAGCCACCCACCAAGUCUGAGAAAGUGGUU
rfam:Cricetulus griseus cell line CHO-K1, whole genome shotgun sequence.